CAGCAGCCGCGGUAAUACGAAGGGGGCUAGCGUUGCUCGGAAUGACUGGGCGUAAAGGGCGCGUAGGCGGUUCGUACAGUUGGAUGUGAAAUUCCUGGGCUUAACCUGGGGGCUGCAUUCAAUACGUGCGGGAUAGAUUGUGGAAGAGGGUUGUGGAAUUCCCAGUGUAGAGGUGAAAUUCGUAGAUAUUGGGAAGAACACCGGUGGCGAAGGCGGCAACCUGGUCCAUAAUUGACGCUGAGGCGCGAAAGCGUGGGGAGCAAACAGGAUUAGAUACCCGAGUAGUCCCUGUCUCUUAUAC
rnacentral:rRNA from 1 species